CCUACGGUGAGCUGCAGUGAGGAAUAUUGGUCAAUGGCCGUAAGGCUGAACCAGCCAAGUCGCGUGAAGGAAGAAGGAUCUAUGGUUUGUAAACUUCUUUUAUAGGGGCAUAAAGGUAUCCACGUGUGGAUAUUUGCAUGUACCCUAUGAAUACGCAUCGGCUAACUCCGUGCCAGCAGCCGCGGUAAUCCGGAGGUUGCGAGCGUUAUCCGGAUUUAUUGGGUUUAAAGGGUGCGUAGGUUGUUUUUUAAGUCAGCGGUGAAAGUUUGUGGCUCAACCAUAAAAUUGCCGUUGAAACUGGAAGACUUGAGUGUGGUAGAGGUAGGCGGAAGUCGUGGUGUAGCGGUGAAAUGCGUAGAUAUCACGCAGAACACCGAUUGCGAAGGCAGCUUACUGGGCCAUAACUGACGCUGAGGCACGAAAGCGUGGGGAUCAAACAGGAUUAGAUACCCGAGUAGUC
rnacentral:rRNA from 1 species